UUAAGCGACUAAGCGUACACGGUGGAUGCCCUGGCAGUCAGAGGCGAUGAAGGACGUGCUAAUCUGCGAUAAGCGUCGGUAAGGUGAUAUGAACCGUUAUAACCGGCGAUUUCCGAAUGGGGAAACCCAGUGUGAUUCGUCACACUAUCGUUAAGUGAAUACAUAGCUUAACGAAGCGAACCGGGGGAACUGAAACAUCUAAGUACCCCGAGGAAAAGAAAUCAACCGAGAUUCCCCCAGUAGCGGCGAGCGAACGGGGAACAGCCCAGAACCUGAAUCAGUUUGUGUGUUAGUGGAAGCGUCUGGAAAGUCGCAGGGUACAGGGUGAUACUCCCGUACACUAAAAUGCACAUGCUGUGAGUUCGAAGAGUAGGGCGGGACACGUGGUAUCCUGUCUGAAUAUGGGGGGACCAUCCUCCAAGGCUAAAUACUCCUGACUGACCGAUAGUGAACCAGUACCGUGAGGGAAAGGCGAAAAGAACCCCGGCGAGGGGAGUGAAACAGAACCUGAAACCGUGUACGUACAAGCAGUGGGAGCCUCUUUUAUGGGGUGACUGCGUACCUUUUGUAUAAUGGGUCAGCGACUUAUAUUCUGUAGCAAGGUUAACCGUAUAGGGGAGCCGCAGGGAAACCGAGUCUUAACUGGGCGUUAAGUUGCAGGGUAUAGACCCGAAACCCGGUGAUCUAGCCAUGGGCAGGUUGAAGGUUGGGUAACACUAACUGGAGGACCGAACCGACUAAUGUUGAAAAAUUAGCGGAUGACUUGUGGCUGGGGGUGAAAGGCCAAUCAAACCGGGAGAUAGCUGGUUCUCCCCGAAAGCUAUUUAGGUAGCGCCUCGUGAAUUCAUCUUCGGGGGUAGAGCACUGUUUCGGCUAGGGGGUCAUCCCGACUUACCAACCCGAUGCAAACUACGAAUACCGAAGAAUGUUAUCACGGGAGACACACGGCGGGUGCUAACGUCCGUCGUGAAGAGGGAAAACAACCCAGACCGCCAGCUAAGGUCCCAAAGUCAUGGUUAAGUGGGAAACGAUGUGGGAAGGCACAGACAGCCAGGAUGUUGGCUUAGAAGCAGCCAUCAUUUAAAGAAAGCGUAAUAGCUCACUGGUCGAGUCGGCCUGCGCGGAAGAUGUAACGGGGCUAAACCAUGCACCGAAGCUGCGGCAGCGACACUUAGGUGUUGUUGGGUAGGGGAGCGUUCUGUAAGCCGUUGAAGGUGGCCUGUGAGGGUUGCUGGAGGUAUCAGAAGUGCGAAUGCUGACAUAAGUAACGAUAAAGCGGGUGAAAAGCCCGCUCGCCGGAAGACCAAGGGUUCCUGUCCAACGUUAAUCGGGGCAGGGUGAGUCGACCCCUAAGGCGAGGCCGAAAGGCGUAGUCGAUGGGAAACAGGUUAAUAUUCCUGUACUCGGUGUUACUGCGAAGGGGGGACGGAGAAGGCUAUGUUAGCCGGGCGACGGUUGUCCCGGUUUAAGCAUGUAGGCGGAGAGUUUAGGUAAAUCCGGACUCUUAUUAACGCUGAGGUGUGAUGACGAGGCACUACGGUGCUGAAGUAACAAAUGCCCUGCUUCCAGGAAAAGCCUCUAAGCAUCAGGUAACAUCAAAUCGUACCCCAAACCGACACAGGUGGUCAGGUAGAGAAUACCAAGGCGCUUGAGAGAACUCGGGUGAAGGAACUAGGCAAAAUGGUGCCGUAACUUCGGGAGAAGGCACGCUGAUACCAGGUGAAGUGACUUGCUCACGGAGCUGAAAUCAGUCGAAGAUACCAGCUGGCUGCAACUGUUUAUUAAAAACACAGCACUGUGCAAACACGAAAGUGGACGUAUACGGUGUGACGCCUGCCCGGUGCCGGAAGGUUAAUUGAUGGGGUUAUCCGCAAGGAGAAGCUCUUGAUCGAAGCCCCGGUAAACGGCGGCCGUAACUAUAACGGUCCUAAGGUAGCGAAAUUCCUUGUCGGGUAAGUUCCGACCUGCACGAAUGGCGUAAUGAUGGCCAGGCUGUCUCCACCCGAGACUCAGUGAAAUUGAACUCGCUGUGAAGAUGCAGUGUACCCGCGGCAAGACGGAAAGACCCCGUGAACCUUUACUAUAGCUUGACACUGAACAUUGAGCCUUGAUGUGUAGGAUAGGUGGGAGGCUUUGAAGCGUGGACGCCAGUCUGCGUGGAGCCAACCUUGAAAUACCACCCUUUAAUGUUUGAUGUUCUAACGUAGACCCGUGAUCCGGGUUGCGGACAGUGUCUGGUGGGUAGUUUGACUGGGGCGGUCUCCUCCCAAAGAGUAACGGAGGAGCACGAAGGUUAGCUAAUCCUGGUCGGACAUCAGGAGGUUAGUGCAAUGGCAUAAGCUAGCUUGACUGCGAGCGUGACGGCGCGAGCAGGUGCGAAAGCAGGUCAUAGUGAUCCGGUGGUUCUGAAUGGAAGGGCCAUCGCUCAACGGAUAAAAGGUACUCCGGGGAUAACAGGCUGAUACCGCCCAAGAGUUCAUAUCGACGGCGGUGUUUGGCACCUCGAUGUCGGCUCAUCACAUCCUGGGGCUGAAGUAGGUCCCAAGGGUACGGCUGUUCGCCGUUUAAAGUGGUACGCGAGCUGGGUUUAGAACGUCGUGAGACAGUUCGGUCCCUAUCUGCCGUGGGCGCUGGAGAAUUGAGGGGGGCUGCUCCUAGUACGAGAGGACCGGAGUGGACGCAUCACUGGUGUUCGGGUUGUCAUGCCAAUGGCAUUGCCCGGUAGCUAAAUGCGGAAAAGAUAAGUGCUGAAAGCAUCUAAGCACGAAACUUGCCCCGAGAUGAGUUCUCCCUGACUCCUUGAGAGUCCUGAAGGAACGUUGAAGACUACGACGUUGAUAGGUCGGGUGUGUAAGCGUAGCGAUACGUUGAGCUAACCGAUACUAAUGAACCGUGAGGCUUAACCUU
rnacentral:rRNA from 1 species